GGCACAAACUGAAGGGAAUCUGGUGUUGCAAAUGGACUAAGACAAGUUUUAUUUCUUAAAAGGCCUGAUACACAUAAUCCAAAAAUCAAGAAAAAAAAAGUUGAAGUGUUUUCAUAGAAAAGAAUGGACAUAAACCUAAAUAUUUAUGAUAGAUCUGUAGAAGGGUAUUUUGCUAUGUAUACAUGCACACUCUAAAAAUGAACUACGGUAGAAGUUAAUUUUUAUUUAACUUGAAUACAAUUUUCAGUAUAAAAUUAUCAUUUCUACAAAUAGCUAAUUAUUAAUGAAAAGGUUAUAGGAAAAUAUUAAAAUACUUGAAAUGGCCAGUAUGGACUUUUACAUAAAAUGAAACUUUUGUACUACAUUCAACCAAUUUCUUACUGGUUUCUUAAUCCACAUAACUGGAUCACUUUUUAGAGAGUGUAGGUAUAUAUAGAUAUAUAUUAUUGUUAUUAUUAUUUUGGUAAUGGAUAGCUUGACUGCCUUGAAUUUAUAUUUAUAUUGAGCAUAGCAUGAAAAAUAGUAUGCCUUUUUGUUCAAUUACAUGGUUUUAUAUUGAUUUGAGGACUUAUUUUAUGAACAUAUGUGGCAUGCUAUAAAGCAUUGCAAACGUAUUUCUUAGAGCAUAAACAGAUAUACAUAUGUACGGCUAACAAAAAUGAAGAUUAGAAAAAGAGAUAGUUUUACAACAAAUAUGCAAUGCAGAUGGCAUUUUGGAGAUGUUUUGUAGAGGUACUUCAUACUGUAGGUUAGAAGUGCACCAGUAUCAGCCCAUAGCAUUAUUUAGUAAAUCCAACUCAGUUGUUGCUGAAAAUAUAGAUUAAUUGACAGUUUAAGUAACGUCGCAUAUUUACUACACAUCAGCUCAUUUGGUGAAUUUGGAAUACUAUGCCUGUUUGUCAUAUAUAUUAAAAUGUGUGUGUGUGUGUUUGUAUACUUGUAAACACACACAAACACACACAUACACGUACAUACAUAUUUUAAUCCACGGAGAAGUUUUUAUUGUCAACAAACUACUCUAACUUAUGCUACAAACAGAACAAAAUGAUUCAUGUUACUGUUCCAAUUUUGUCCCUUGCAUAGUUGGUGGAAAAUACUAACAGCACUAGUUAUUCUGUAUUUGAUUUUCCUCUACAAUGGGAGAACUUAUGUUACAUUAUCUUUAAGUCAAAACAGCAUCUCAUCUGUUUUUUUAUUGACUUGAAAAUUUCACUUCAAUUUUGAAAUAACUUUCAUGGCAGCUUUAACUUUUUGUGCAACUGUUUCCUUGACAGUAAUGAAGUGCUGAGCAUGUCAACUGUUGUUCUUUGAUAAGGUAACAAAAAUGUUUGUAUUUGGAGAAUUUAACUUUAAUUAUGCAGGAAGGUAAGUGUAAUAAGUCUAGUGCUUGGUAUAUGUACAUCAUAGAUACAUGAAUACAUGAUAAGUUGAUUGAUCUAUUUUCUUUUACUUAAAAGUGCAUAUAUGUUAUAUACAGAGAAAGAGAGAAAAAAUAAUACUAUAUUGGCAUGUUUAUGUCAUGCAAAGAAAGAUUGUGUCAGCAUUUCUAUUACAUAAUCUUAUUUUCAGUAGGCUAUAACAGAGUCAUAAAGGUUUGCUUUAAGUAAAAGAUGUAGGAGCAACUGUUUUCACUGUAAUUCCCAAAUACAUACUGGCUAGUUUCAAAUAACUUCAGAGUAAAUUAGUGAUGUUGUCUGAUCUAGUUUUGAACUCAAAUGAGUAAAAGUUCUACGACAAUGUUAUUUUUAGAACAGUUGUUUUUCUACCAGGGCCUAUAAUUAUGAGAGUUAAGAAAAAACAAAUUGAAAUUAUUUUCAGUUCUGCAAUCUGGGUUCCUGCUCAUGUGCCGUAACCUUUUUCGUAAAGUUUUUAAUAAACAUUUCCAUAUUGCUAUUGUCAUGAUCUCAACUGUGGAACAAUACAAAACUGAAUAUGUAUUGCGUUAAUCAGUUACAGUCUAUCAAGCUGACUAUACAGGGUCGUGUAUUUUCAGAGUACUAUAUGGUCUGUAUGAUGCAGGAGGCCAAAGUAGAUGAUGGCAGUGUUUCCUCUGGCCUUUUAAUGUAAUGAAAAGGUUAUUGACUAGACAAAAAUUAAUUUUUAUAAAAAAAAAAAAAAAUUAAAAACUAUGUGACUGUAUAUUUGCUGGAUAGGCUGGGAUAGAGAGACUCAAAUGGCUCCAAAGGAGCCCUUUCAAGUCUCCUGAAUAAAUGUAAUACAUAUUUUAUAUAUUCCUAUGAACUUUUGUUCUUUUUCUUCUUUCAAGGUGGGGCAAAGGGAUGGGAUAAUUAAAGAAAGAAAAUGUUUAAGGCUAAUUUUGUGAAUGAAAAUUACAGAAGCUAAUAGAUUCAAACAUAAGGGACAGACUUAAACUUUUUCUUAGAGGUGUACUUCACCUACCCAGUUGCUUGGUCAAGACUUCUGCACCGUUAGCACUGUGGGCUAAGAACAGAGUGUAAGGCUUAAUUAUUGAACUUUCAACUCUUUUUGGGGUCUUACUUCACAAUCUUAGUGUCAGUUAAAUGUAGCUUUUGGUACCAAAUUAUAUAGAAUAAAAUUCUAGCUUGUUGGUUAGAAAAAAGUGCAUAGAAUAGAAAGUAGGUCUGCCUAUAAACAAUGGAAGAAUUACAUUCCUAUUCUAGUUUUUUUUUUCAUUUGAACCAUAGCUAAGGCAAACCUUAAAAAAGACACAUAGCAAACUGAGGAGUGAAUGUUCCAGGCACUGCAUUUUCAAGAAGGUAGAAAUGCAAGCUACCGCACCAUUAGCAGCCUAAAUUUGAGAUAGCACAAGAUCACUGGGCUGAGGAGCAAGGAUAUGACUUCAUGGUCUUGCUCUAUCCUGGCUCCCUUAUCUUCUCACAACACGGCCUAAAUCGUCUUACCAGUUACAUAGGUGAAGCCGUGCACCGUGGCAGUAGGAGAUGUGAAGCAGCCGUUACAGAGCAAUAGCUCUCUUGUCACCUCUUGUUGUUGUCAAGAUUGUCUUUGGACAGCUCUAUUUCCAGAAGUAUAAAUAGGUGACUGCAGCCCUAUGAGCCAUAAGGAAAAUUAUUAUUACCAGUAGAGGGAACAAAUGUCACUGGCCACUUAGGUGUUCACCUAUGCUGUAAAUCAAACAAUACUGUGUGGGAACUAAGGAACAGAUAACCUGUAAUUGAAUACGAUGGUAAGCCGCAACUGAUUCACCAGCACUGCAAUGUUAGGCGUACUUCCUUAGCUUACACUACACAGACUGCAGAUAAACAGUGGUUCACAUAGGACAAGACCAUUUAAACAUAUGUCAGUUACAAAAUCAGGUGUAAAUGAACCAUAUACUCAUAAAAUUGAUGUUUGAUUUAUGCAUGUAAAUCAAUGAAUUAUCUGUCACUGGUCUCAUGAAAAAUGGAAUGUGUGAGUCAAAUCUGUCCAACCCAUUCUUGUGAUUUGCUAUCUGAGAUGACAGAGGCUGAUAGAAAAAGACAUUGUCAUCAGUGCCAUCAAUGCUGAAAAUGUCUGGUAAGCAUCAAAAGCAUACAAUAACUUGCUGCAGACUGGUUCCAUUUGAUGCUUGAUCUAAUGUUAGGCAACAUAAAUUCUGUAUGAUGUGACAUUAUUUGAUGUGUGUAUGUAACUAGGAAAGCCCUAAUCAGGAGGUCAUAUUUUGAAGGGUCAUCAGUAUGUGACCACUGCAAGCAUCUGUUCCUAAAAUCAAAAUGUAUUUCUAAGUAGUAUGUAGGCAGCAUUAAACACAUGCAUCUUAAACAGGUCUUGUUUCCCAGUGCACAUAAGGUUUAGCAUAUCAUCUACAAAUUAUAGUCAGUUUAUUAACGUUUGCAGUUGCAGCUGCCCAUUAUGUCUUUGAGAUAUGGCAUUCUGUGAGGUGUACAUAAAGUACAUUUGCCCUAUAUAAACAGCCUUAAGUACUGCCCACAGUAUAGAUGAAAUAAAUUUUAGAGGCAGAGAAGACGUAAAUGAAGAAAUGCUGAUGUAAACUAGCAUGCUAAAGACAAUUUUCUACACUUGGAUAUGCAUGCAGCACAGUGCUAUGUGCUGUCAUAGUAAAACUACAUAAACAAUGGUCAUUACACUUUCCAGCCAUUUAUGAUGGCACAAAGCUUUCCAGUCCCACAGCUCAGUUUCUUCUGCUUCUGUAGAAUGACAUUGUUCACAGAUGAUAGUUAUAACCACCAUGUAAGCCAAAGCUUUCUAUUUAGUUAAUAGUAAUUUCUACCCUAUGAAAUUGCAUCACAUGCUUUUUAUAACUACAACCUUAAUCUCCUUGGCGAGCUAUAGGCAUAUCUUAAUUCAUAGCCUUUCACGCCCAUGUUGUUGCAGUAAAAUAUAUACUGAACAUUCUCCCCAUCUUGCCAUCUGGUACUAACACAUGGAAUAAUCACUUUCAUUGUGUGCAUACAUGUGUCCUGGUUCAUCCCUUUGCCCAUCCAUCAUUUGGGGAACUGGCUUUCUGGGAAGCUGGGAUAAAAUAACUUCCUAAAGGACCUGGUUAGCCUUUAACAAUUUGAAGAGUUUUCAGUGAAGUAUUAUAUUACUUACAGGCAACAGAACAGUGUAGCUCCACCAGAUGGGCUCACCACUUGCAAAAAGUAGUGUGUUAAAUCAGAAAAUGAUGUUUCUAAUCCAUAUUUCCAUCCUGAUGUGUUGGCACAGUUUAACACCCAGUCUACACACAUAUCCGUAGCUUACAUGGCUG
rnacentral:lncRNA from 1 species